GCCAGUGUGGUGUAAUGGUUUGGAUGCUGGACUAGGACUCUGGAGACAAGCGUUUGAAUCCCUGCUCAGCCA
rnacentral:tRNA from 1 species